AUUGAACGCUGGCGGCAUGCCUUACACAUGCAAGUCGAACGGCAGCAUGAUCUAGCUUGCUAGAUUGAUGGCGAGUGGCGAACGGGUGAGUAAUACAUCGGAACGUGCCCUGUAGUGGGGGAUAACUAGUCGAAAGAUUAGCUAAUACCGCAUACGACCUGAGGGUGAAAGUGGGGGACCGCAAGGCCUCAUGCUAUAGGAGCGGCCGAUGUCUGAUUAGCUAGUUGGUGAGGUAAAGGCUCACCAAGGCGACGAUCAGUAGCUGGUCUGAGAGGACGAUCAGCCACACUGGGACUGAGACACGGCCCAGACUCCUACGGGAGGCAGCAGUGGGGAAUUUUGGACAAUGGGCGAAAGCCUGAUCUAGCAAUGCCGCGUGUGUGAAGAAGGCCUUCGGGUUGUAAAGCACUUUUGUCCGGAAAGAAAUGGCUCUGGUUAAUACCUGGGGUCGAUGACGGUACCGGAAGAAUAAGGACCGGCUAACUACGUG
rnacentral:rRNA from 1 species